rnacentral:rRNA from 1 species
GGGGAAUCUUGCGCAAUGGGCGAAAGCCUGACGCAGCGACGCCGCGUGAGUGAUGAAGGCCUUCGGGUUGUAAAGCUCUGUGGAGAGGGACGAAUAAGUGUGGUCGAAUAGGCCGCAUGAUGACGGUACCUCUUUAGCAAGCACCGGCUAACUCUGUGCCAGCAGCCGCGGUAAGACAGAGGGUGCAAACGUUGUUCGGAAUUACUGGGCGUAAAGCGCGUGUAGGCUGCUUGGAAAGUCGGAUGUGAAAGCCCUGGGCUCAACCUAGGAAGUGCAUUCGAAACUUCCAAGCUCGAGUUUCGGAGAGGAAGGCGGAAUUCUCGGUGUAGAGGUGAAAUUCGUAGAUAUCGAGAGGAACAUCGGUGGCGAAGGCGGCCUUCUGGACGAUGACUGACGCUGAGACGCGAAAGCGUGGGGAGCAAAC